CGCGUCCUACCAUGCAAGUCAAGGCGUAGCCGAAAGGCUACGACUGGCGCACGGGUGAGUAACGCGUAGGUAACCUACCCCUACCCCUGACAUAACACCGAGAAAUCGGUGCUAAUAUCAGAUGAGGAGCCGAGAGGCUUCAAAGGGGCAACCCGGGUAGGGAUGGGCCUGCGUCCGAUUAGGUAGUUGGUAGGGUAAAAGCCUACCAAGCCGACGAUCGGUAGCUGGCCUGAGAGGGUGGUCAGCCACACUGGGACUGAGACACGGCCCAGACUCCUACGGGAGGCAGCAGUGAGGAAUAUUGGGCAAUGGGCGAAAGCCUGACCCAGCGACGCCGCGUGUGGGAUGACGGAGCUCUGCUUCGUAAACCACUGUCGGAGGGGAAGAAAAGCUCCCACGGGGAGCUGGGACUGUACCCUCAGAGGAAGGAUCGGCUAACUACGUGCCAGCAGCCGCGGUAAAACGUAGGAUCCGAGCGUUGUCCGGAAUCACUGGGUGUAAAGGGUGCGUAGGCGGGCUUGCGCGUCAAGGGUUAAAGACCUCGGCUCAACCGAGGCAAUGCCCUUGAUACGGCAAGUCUUGAGUGCGGGAGAGGAUGGUGGAAUUCCUGGUGUAGCGGUGAAAUGCGUAGAGAUCA
rnacentral:rRNA from 1 species